UACUUCAUCGACUCGCAAACUUUCAACGUGUGUGGAGUUUGCCUCCAAAUGAAAAUACAGGAAAAGAAGUGACUGCUCUUGCUUGGAGACCAGAUGGCAAAAUUUUGGCUUUUGGCCUUGCUGAUACCAAGCGGAUUAUUCUAUGUGAUGUAGAAAAACCUGAAAGCUUGCACUCCUUCUCUGUGGACUUAUCUAU